ensembl:lncRNA
CUUGGAAUGACUUUUCAUAGGUUUCCCAGAGACUGUGGGUUGAGGAGGAAUUGGAAGUCUGUCGGCUUAGACCUGGUGUCAUUCCAUCAGUGUUAAACUUCCCGGCUCAUCUUGGAAGAGUACGUGCCAGAAAGACCACGACCAAGCAGCCUUGAGAUCUUAGACAGCAUCUCCCUGAGGUCCCUCUCUAUCUCCCUACACAUCCACCAACCACUGGAACACAUCUCCAAAGUUCUGCCGGGCCAGCUCAGCUUCCCCUCAGAAGAAGUGCCGCCACCUGCCAGAUGAAGGAGCCUUUUGAGAGGCAGCUGGCAUCGUGAUUGGACUGUACUUUGGUCUGUUCCAAUCCAGCUUCAGCUCCAGAGACGGCAGGCGGGACGAGUCAACGGAGGCUGGAUGGACGAAGGCAUGAAGCUGAGUACAAUCCAGAAAACAACAGAGGAGGAGUGCAGCAGCCCAGAGCCAGAACAAGCAGAGUAGCAUCGUAUGUCUCUUAGAAAACAUCAUAGUAUAGCCUUUGGGAUGAAAAAACACCAUCAUAUACAUCGUAUAUUGUACAAAUAACAAGUCAAAGCAAAGAGACAUACAUUGUAGAAUUGUAGUAAUUGUGGGCUGACUGAUUUACUGAUUAUCAGUAUUUUAUUUUUACUGAUUUACGGUAAUAAAUACAUUUAAAAAUGG